rnacentral:rRNA from 1 species
GACGAACGCUGGCGGCGUGCUUAACACAUGCCAGUCGAACGGAAAGGCCCUGCUUUUGUGGGUUGCUCGAUUGGCGAACGGGUGAGUAACACGUGAGUAACCUGCCCUUGACUUUGGGAUAACUUCAGGAAACUGGGGCUAAUACCGGAUAGGAUCUCCUGCUGCAUGGUGGUGGUUGGAAAGUUUCGGCUGUUGGGGAUGGACUCGCUGCUUAUCAGCUUGUUUGUGUGGUAGUGGCUUACCAAGGCUUUGACGGGUAGCCGGCCUGAGAGGGUGACCGGCGACAUUGGGACUGAGAUACGGACCAGAAUGCUACGGGAGGCAGCAGUGGGGAAUAUUGCAGAAUGGGCGGAAGUCUGAUGCAGAAACGCCGCGUGCGGGAUGCCGGCCUUCGGGUUGUAAACAGCUGUCGAAUGUGAUGAAGAGUGAGUGACGGUAAUGGGUAAAGAAGCAACGGCUAACUACGUG